rnacentral:rRNA from 1 species
AUUGAACGCUGGCGGCAUGCUUUACACAUGCAAGUCGAACGGUAACAGCACUUCGGUGGCUGACGAGUGGCGAACGGGUGAGUAAUACAUCGGAACGUGCCUAGUAGUGGGGGAUAACUACUCGAAGGAGUAGCUAAUACCGCAUGAGAUCUAAGGAUGAAAGCAGGGGACCUUCGGGCCUUGCGCUACUAGAGCGGCUGAUGGCAGAUUAGGUAGUUGGUGGGAUAAAAGCUUACCAAGCCGACGAUCUGUAGCUGGUCUGAGAGGACGACCAGCCACACUGGGACUGAGACACGGCCCAGACUCCUACGGGAGGCAGCAGUGGGGAAUUUUGGACAAUGGGCGCAAGCCUGAUCCAGCAAUGCCGCGUGCAGGAUGAAGGCCUUCGGGUUGUAAACUGCUUUUGUACGGAACGAAAAGCCCUCUUCUAAUACAGGAGGGUCAUGACGGUACCGUAAGAAUAAGCACCGGCUAACUACGUG